GACGAACGCUGGCGGCGUGCUUAACACAUGCAAGUCGAACGAUGAAGCCGGAGCUUGCUCUGGUGAAUUAGUGGCGAACGGGUGAGUAACACGUGAGUAACCUGCCCUUGACUCUGGGAUAACUGCGGGAAACUGUAGCUAAUACCGGAUACGACCCUCGGCGGCAUCGCCAGGGGGUGGAAAGAAUUUCGGUCAAGGAUGGACUCGCGGCCUAUCAGCUAGUUGGUGAGGUAACGGCUCACCAAGGCGACGACGGGUAGCCGGCCUGAGAGGGUGGCCGGCCACGCUGGGACUGAGACACGGACCAGACUCCUGCGGGAGGUAUCAGUGGGGAAUAUUGCACAAGGGGCGCAAGCCUGAUGCAGCAACGCCGCGUGAGGGAUGACGGCCUACGGGUUGUAAACCUCUUUUAGUAGGGAAGAAGCGAAAGUGACGGUACCUGCAGAAAAAGCACCGGCUAACUACGUGCCAGCAGCCGCGGUAA
rnacentral:rRNA from 1 species